UGAGGGACUUUAGGGAGAAGGGUCCCCCCAGCAGGGAGCAGGCCGGGGGUGAUGGGGGGCGCCCGAAAAUAACUGGGGAGAGCCAGGCCCCCCCCCGAGAGGGGAGAAGGGGGCCGGGAGAAUUGGGCCAGGGCCAGCAGGGGCAGGGGCAGGAGCAUGCCCCCCCGGGGACCCCCUGGCCCAUCCCCCUGGGCUGGCGGCCUGCAGCCCCGGGAGGUCGGCGCAACUGUUCCCCCUGCUGGCUAAAACUGGCCCUGGCAGAGCCCUUCCGCCCUGGGGAACAGCCGGGGCCUCCCCCGGGGGAUCCUGGGAAUCCUCCUGCUUGGAUGGCAAGGAGAGGGAGCCCCGGCCAGCCGGGAGGUAGAGCCCAGGGGGCUGUGACCCGGAGGCCGGGGCUUUCACCCCAAUGGUCACCCUCCCAUCUGUGGGCGGAUAAGCCACACCCCCUAUGAAUAUUCAUGAGCCCGGCCGGGAGUCCCUCCCCCAGGGCCGAAGCCCCCGCUCCCCCCCGGCCGGGCCAAGUUGGGCAUAUGGUGCCCCGGGGCCGCUGGCAGCGCCCGCUUCCCAUGACUGUCUCUUCCUCUGGCGGCCAGAUGGUGUUUAGCUGGCACUGGGUGGGAGGGAGGCUGCCGCUUCCGCUCCUCCUGCCCCACCAGCCAGGACCGCUCCCCUCCCCACUGCGGAGCCGCAGACAGCGCAGACUCAGGCUGGGGGUGGGGGGGGGGGGGGGGGGACAACGACGACACAAGCUUUCCCCAGCCUCCUCCCCAUCAGCCCUUCCCCGGACCCUGCGGCUUCCAGUGCUCUGUUUGCCCCAAGCCUCCAACACUGAACCAGGCCCCUUCUGACCUCUGAGAGCUAGGGCCCACGGUACGGCCUCCAGGCCGGCUCUCAGGAGGGGCCGGGUCAGAGGGGCCUUGGCUCAAAUUGCCUUCUCUCUUCUCCCCAUCCAGAGGAGCGACUGUCCAGGGAGCAGGAGGUCGUGGAGGUGCCCGAGGGGGGCAUCGAAGACUGGCUGGAGAAGCGGGCCCAGCGGCGGAGCUCUGCCCAGAGCAGCAGGCGCCCCGUUUUCUCAGCUGCCGUUGGCACUUCCUUCACCUGCCUCCCCAGGGUGCCAGGAGCCAGAAUUAAUUCCUGUUUUUAAAGUGUGCUGCCAGCCAAGCCGGCCGUCUUCCAGUACCCCCCUGGGUGGCCGCCCCUCCAGGACCUGCCGCCGUCCCUGCGGGCCCCGCCCCCGGGGGGAUGGCCCCCGCAGCCCGGCGCCCAGUGGGGCUGAGAGCGAGGCCGCCUCGUCCGCCGCGGGAGCUCCUCGGGGGUCUCACGGGGGUCGGGGAACCCCUCAUCUCCUAGAUCCCAAUAAAAGGCUCCAGCCUCAGCUUGUGCUGUUGUUCAUCGCGUCCACGCCAGGGGAGAAACGGCCUCCCGCCGUGGGUCCUGCUGGGGAGGGGGGGCUCUGGGUUCCGACCCCGGCCUCCAGGGGCGCCUGGCCCGGGGACCGCCAGAAGGUGCCACUGGGGCCUGGGCUCUGGGCACAGAGAUGCCCCUCCCGGCCUGGGGAGGAAGCCACGGGCCCCACGGAGCCGUCCCUGCCUCACCUGGGAGUCAGUGAAAGAGGGGGGGGGGGGGGGGGGGGAGGCCGGGGGCCCCGAGGGCAGGGAGGGAGGGCAGGCGCCCACAUGGGCUGGGAAGCCUAAGGGCAUCCUCUGGGGGUGGGGGGAGGGACAGGAGCGGGAAGUUCUGGGGGUAGAUGUGAGGGAACCCCAAAACUCUCAGCCACCCCCAGUGCAAGACUAGGGGUCUGUGGUGCCCUCAACUCAGGGAAAUUCUGAUUCUUUCCCAUCGCUCUUCACAACCCAGAGGAUGCUGGGACGGUUCAUGGACAUGGGGAGGGGCUGAUGGGAGCCCAGCUCGCCUCGGAGGCUCUCGUGCCCCCAGUGCCGGGAGAGAGGGUUCGUCCACAAGGCC
rnacentral:lncRNA from 1 species